rnacentral:rRNA from 1 species
AUGCAGUCGGACGGUCCCUUCGGGGAUAGUGGCAAACGGGUGCGUAACGCGUAAAUAACCUGCCCCAAACUGGGGGAUAGCCCGGCGAAAGCUGGGGUAAGCCCGCAUGGUCUUUUUCUCUCACCUGGGAGGAUGAGUAAAACCGCAAGGUGGUUUGGGAGGGAUUUGCGUCUGAUUAGCUAGUUGGCGGGGUAGUGGCCCACCAAGGCGAUGAUCAGUAGGGGCUCUGAGAGGAGGGUCCCCCACAUGGGCACUGAGACACGGGCCCAACUCCUACGGGAGGCAGCAGUAGGGAAUAUUGGGCAAUGGACGCAAGUCUGACCCAGCCAUGCCGCGUGCAGGAAGACGGCCCUCUGGGUUGUAAACUGCUUUUAUCAGGGAAGAAGAGUCGGCAUGCGUGCUGAUGUGACGGUACCUGAGGAAUAAGCACCGGCUAACUCCGUGCCAGCAGCCGCGGUAAUACGGAGGGUGCAAGCGUUGUCCGGAUUUAUUGGGUUUAAAGGGUGCGUAGGUGGCCCCCUAAGUCAGUUCUGAAAGCUGGUCGCUUAACGAUCAGGGGUGGAUUGAUACUGGGGGGCUUGGAUCAGGUGGCGGUUUCUGGAACGGGUCGUGUAGCGGUGAAAUGCAUAGAUAUGACCCAGAACUCCGAUUGCGAAGGCAGGAGGCUACGCCUGUAUUGACACUGAGGCACGAGAGCAUGGGGAGCAAACAGGAUUAGAUACCCCGGUAGUCCA